CCCCACUACUUUGUAUUUGUCCAUCUGCUUUUGAUGGUGUAACUCCAAAUCCAUGUUCCUUAACUGUUCCAUGACGUUCAGGACCUAAAACUCGAGUGACAGCAUCAUCGCGGAUGGAAACUUCGACAGGUGUAUCAUAAAUUGAUAUGACACAAUCUUCAAUCUUUCUUUGCACUUAUGGAACUCUAAUUUUAUUAGUGAUACAACUAAUAAAUCAAAUUAUGCUUCAUUGAACAUUGAUAUAAUACACAUGCCAAAGUAUCGGCAACUACUUCAUUUAUUGGUUUUCCGUCUUUCCUAAGAUAUCCAUGAGUCCAUACUCUUGUUCUUAAUCCUUUUAAAUCUGGAUUCUUUUUUCUCUGCAAUACAAAUUUAGUAAUUACAUAUAUUGAAGUUGUACUAUUCAAGUAAAAAGACAAG
rnacentral:lncRNA from 1 species